UACGAAGGGGGCUAGCGUUGUUCGGAAUUACUGGGCGUAAAGCGCACGUAGGCGGACAUUUAAGUCAGGGGUGAAAUCCCAGAGCUCAACUCUGGAACUGCCUUUGAUACUGGGUGUCUAGAGUAUGGAAGAGGUGAGUGGAAUUCCGAGUGUAGAGGUGAAAUUCGUAGAUAUUCGGAGGAACACCAGUGGCGAAGGCGGCUCACUGGUCCAUUACUGACGCUGAGG
rnacentral:rRNA from 1 species